ensembl:lncRNA
CUGGGAGCUGUUUAUUUAUGGCUGCAAAUGUGUGCGUGCGAGAGAGAGGGAGAAUUGAUCUUUGCCUGGACUUAAAGAUGGAGCCGAAGGCGCUGGAGGGAAUUUGGGUUUGCGCGCCUAGCUCAGACCGGGGCGCUGAAGGGGGCCGUUUGGCACGAAGCCCGAGGUCGCUCUUUUCCGCACCCCUCACCUCGCGACCUUUCAGGAAUCUGAGGGGUCCUGAAGCGGCCUGGCUGACCCACCUCCCCGGGGCCGAGCUUCGAGAAAGGCUUCAUGGAGGGAGCCAUCCCGUCCCUGUCUUUAAAAUGAGCGCAAUAAAAGGUAUCACCUGCGACUUGUGCGGAUCACUUUUUCUUACUGUGCACUGGUGCGGGGGCGGGAGCGGAGGGUACUUACAGUUUCCGGGGUGGGGGGUGGGGGGCUUAUAGGAUCCCGGGGAGGGGGGAAUUAGGAAGCUAGAAGUUAGGCUCCCCAGUUUCCCGCUUUCUUUCUCAUUUGAAAUUAUGCAGAUUGACUCUCGUUUCCUCCCUCCUAGGGGGCAAAUCCUCAAACGUGAACCUGAUCACUUGUCACAGAAGCAACUUGCCAUGAAAUCCGCUAAUGCGCCGCGACUCGCCCACCCGGGCUGGUUCCCGCUUUCUAAAUCUCCCAGGUGGCUUGUUGUCUCUGCAAAUCCAACACAAACGUACUCAGGAUUAUCUCAGGCCACUGUCCUUGCAGCACUGACCAUUAUCUCGAUGGAAGAACGAGCUCCUCUGGUCAGAGAGCAUAAAGCGGCGGCUAAAUUCGUGUCUUUCCCCACCCACCCACCGCACCCUUUAAUGGUGAGAAAAUAUAGGCUUCUCAAAUCCACAGAAGCAACCAAACACACAUUUCCCAGUGUUCUUUGUUUAUAUCGGUUCGGGUGCUGGAAGCUGUCUGACAACGAGCUUUUUCGUUGAGCCUGUUUUAUGCAGAGCACUUGGGAUAUUUUUCAGUCUUGUAUCUUAAAUAUAUAUAUAUUAAAUGCUUUAUGGAUGGUUUUGCAAUAGGUUUCUUAAGGAACAGAUAUGUUCCUAGGUGUUUGGGAUUGAAUGGUGAGAGAAGCUGCCUGGAACGUAUAAAUAAACCCAAUGCAAAUUAAAAACA